rnacentral:rRNA from 1 species
GAUGAACGCUGGCGGCGUGCCUAAUACAUGCAAGUCGAGCGAACGGACGAGAAGCUUGCUUCUCUGAUGUUAGCGGCGGACGGGUGAGUAACACGUGGAUAACCUACCUAUAAGACUGGGAUAACUUCGGGAAACCGGAGCUAAUACCGGAUAAUAUUUUGAACCGCAUGGUUCAAAAGUGAAAGACGGUCUUGCUGUCACUUAUAGAUGGAUCCGCGCUGCAUUAGCUAGUUGGUAAGGUAACGGCUUACCAAGGCAACGAUGCAUAGCCGACCUGAGAGGGUGAUCGGCCACACUGGGACUGAGACACGGUCCAGACUCCUACGGGAGGCAGCAGUAGGGAAUCUUCCGCAAUGGGCGAAAGCCUGACGGAGCAACGCCGCGUGAGUGAUGAAGGUCUUCGGAUCGUAAAACUCUGUUAUUAGGGAAGAACAUAUGUGUAAGUAACUGUGCACAUCUUGACGGUACCUAAUCAGAAAGCCACGGCUAACUACGUGCCAGCAGCCGCGGUAAUACGUAGGUGGCAAGCGUUAUCCGGAAAUAUUGGGCGUAAAGCGCGCGUAGCGGUUUUUUAAGUCUGAUGUGAAAGCCCACGGCUCAACCGUGGAGGGUCAUUGGAAACUGGAAAACUUGAGUGCAGAAGAGGAAAGUGGAAUUCCAUGUGUAGCGGUGAAAUGCGCAGAGAUAUGGAGGAACACCAGUGGCGAAGGCGACUUUCUGGUCUGUAACUGACGCUGAUGUGCGAAAGCGUGGGGAUCAAACAGGAUUAGAUACCCUGGUAGUCCACGCCGUAAACGAUGAGUGCUAAGUGUUAGGGGGUUUCCGCCCCUUAGUGCUGCAGCUAACGCAUUAAGCACUCCGCCUGGGGAGUACGACCGCAAGGUUGAAACUCAAAGGAAUUGACGGGGACCCGCACAAGCGGUGGAGCAUGUGGUUUAAUUCGAAGCAACGCAAAGAACCUUACCAAAUCUUGACAUCCUUUGACAACUCUAGAGAUAGAGCCUUCCCCUUCGGGGGACAAAGUGACAGGUGGUGCAUGGUUGUCGUCAGCUCGUGUCGUGAGAUGUUGGGUUAAGUCCCGCAACGAGCGCAACCCUUAAGCUUAGUUGCCAUCAUUAAGUUGGGCACUCUAAGUUGACUGCCGGUGACAAACCGGAGGAAGGUGGGGAUGACGUCAAAUCAUCAUGCCCCUUAUGAUUUGGGCUACACACGUGCUACAAUGGACAAUACAAAGGGCAGCGAAACCGCGAGGUCAAGCAAAUCCCAUAAAGUUGUUCUCAGUUCGGAUUGUAGUCUGCAACUCGACUACAUGAAGCUGGAAUCGCUAGUAAUCGUAGAUCAGCAUGCUACGGUGAAUACGUUCCCGGGUCU